UGCCGGUUGGGUAACCUUGCCUGUAAGACUGGGAUAACUCCUUGGGAAACCGGGGCUAAUACCUGGAUGCUUGUUUGAACCGCAGGUUCAAACAUAAAAGGUGGCUUCGGCUACCACUUACAGAUGGACCCGCGGCGCAUUAGCUAGUUGGUGAGGUAAUGGCUCACCAAGGCAACGAUGCGUAGCCGACCUGAGAGGGUGAUCGGCCACACUGGGACUGAGACACGGCCCAGACUCCUACGGGAGGCAGCAGUAGGGAAUCUUCCGCAAUGGACGAAAGUCUGACGGAGCAACGCCGCGUGAGUGAUGAAGGUUUUCGGAUCGUAAAGCUCUGUUGUUAGGGAAGAACAAGUACCGUUCGAAUAGGGCGGUACCUUGACGGUACCUAACCAGAAAGCCACGGCUAACUACGUGCCAGCAGCCGCGGUAAUACGUAGGUGGCAAGCGUUGUCCGGAAUUAUUGGGCGUAAAGGGCUCGCAUGCGGUUUCUUAAGUCUGAUGUGAAAGCCCCCGGCUCACCCGGGGAGGGUCAUUGGAAACUGGGGAACUUGACUGCAGAAGAGGAGAGUGGAAUUCCACG
rnacentral:rRNA from 2 species